rnacentral:lncRNA from 1 species
CCUCACUCCUGCCUCAGAGAAUGGGAGGUGAGGUCAUAGAGGGAGAAGGGAGAGGCCUGGAGGUGGGAGGCAGCCGCAGGCCUCAUCUGCCCCGGGAGGGAGAGAGCCCCCUCAGGAAGGAGGGCGACGCAUGGCCUAGGUUGGAGGACAGGGAGCCCGCCAGGGGCCAGCAGGAGGGCUUCCUCUCAGUGUCUUCACGCCGCAAGAUCCUUGAAGUCUCUCCAGGCCCGGGUCCGUCUCCACAGCUUCCAGGAUGCAGGUAUGUCCGGCUGGCCUUUCUCUGCCCUGACACUCUAGGCUAAAGGGGGC